rnacentral:miRNA from 1 species
AGGGAGGGAGGAAGACGGAGAGGGAGGGAGGGAGGAGCUAGAAGGUAGACUGCAGAGGCAACCUUUAGGCUGGCUAGCCCUCGCUGCCCUACCCCCAACCUCACUAACCCGUGGCCUCC